UACAGAGGUCUCAAGCGUUGUUCGGAUUUAUUGGGCGUAAAGGGCGCGUAGGCGGCGGGGUAAGUCGGGUGUGAAAGCCCCGGGCUCAACCUGGGAAUUGCAUUCGAGACUGAAUAGCUAGGGUACGGUAGAGGGAAGCGGAAUUUCCGGUGUGAGCGGUGAAAUGCGUAGAUAUCGUCUGGAACGCCAAUGGUGAAGACAGGUUGCUGGGGUAUGGCUGACGCUGAGACACGAAAGCCAGGGGAGCAACGGGA
rnacentral:rRNA from 1 species